rnacentral:rRNA from 1 species
CAGCCGCCGCGGUAAUACGAAGGGGGCUAGCGUUGCUCGGAAUGACUGGGCGUAAAGGGCGCGUAGGCGGUUCGUACAGUUGGAUGUGAAAUUCCUGGGCUUGACCUGGGGGCUGCAUUCAAUACGUGCGGGCUAGAAUGUGGAAGAGGGUUGUGGAAUUCCCAGUGUAGAGGUGAAAUUCGUAGAUAUUGGGAAGAACACCGGUGGCGAAGGCGGCGACCUGGUCCAUAAUUGACGCUGAGGCGCGAAAGCGUGGGGAGCAAACAGGAUUAGAUACCCGCGUAGUCCCUGUCUCUUAUAC